CAGCAGCAGCCACGGUAAUACGAAGGGUGCAAGCGUUAAUCGGAAUUACUGGGCGUAAAGCGUGCGUAGGCGGUUUGUUAAGUCUGUUGUGAAAUCCCCGGGCUCAACCUGGGAAUGGCAAUGGAUACUGGCAAGCUAGAGUGUGUCAGAGGAUGGUGGAAUUCCCGGUGUAGCGGUGAAAUGCGUAGAGAUCGGGAGGAACAUCAGUGGCGAAGGCGGCCAUCUGGGACAACACUGACGCUGAGGCACGAAAGCGUGGGGAGCAAACAGGAUUAGAUACCCGCGUAGUCCCUGUCUCUUAUAC
rnacentral:rRNA from 1 species